GGGAAGAUGACGGAAUCGAACCCUCGACCUCUCACUCCCGUAGCGAGAAUCAUACCACUAGACCAAUCUUCC
rnacentral:tRNA from 1 species